rnacentral:tRNA from 1 species
GGGGUGGUGGCGCAGUUGGCUAGCGCGUCGGUCUCAUAAUCCGGAGGUCGAGAGUUCGAGCCUCUCUCACCCCA